UACGAAGGGGGCUAGCGUUGUUCGGAAUCACUGGGCGUAAAGCGUACGUAGGCGGAUUUUUAAGUCAGGGGUGAAAGCCUUGAGCUCAACUCAAGAACUGCCUUUGAUACUGGGAAUCUGGAGUCCGGGAGAGGUGAGUGGAACUGCUAGUGUAGAGGUGAAAUUCGUAGAUAUUAGCAAGAACACCAGUGGCGAAGGCGGCUCACUGGCCCGGUACUGACGCUGAGGUACGAAAGCGUGGGGAGCAAACAGG
rnacentral:rRNA from 1 species